UACAGAGGGUGCGAGCGUUGUCCGGAGUUACUGGGCGUAAAGGGCGUGUAGGCGGUUAGUUAAGUCUGGCGUGAAAGCUCUCGGCUAAACCGGGAGAGGUCGUUGGAUACUGGCAAACUAGAGGACGGUAGAGGCGUGUGGAAUUCCGGGUGUAGUGGUGAAAUGCGUAGAGAUCCGGAGGAACACCAGUGGCGAAGGCGACACGCUGGGCCGUACCUGACGCUAAAGCGCGACAGCAUGGGGAGCAAACGGG
rnacentral:rRNA from 1 species